CCGAGAUUGAUGAACAAGUCUUCCCAAUUUUAUUGGAACAGCCGGCCACCCCUAAUAUAGAGUUCAUCAUCAAAGGGGAGGAGCAAGCUGAAUUGUCCUUGGAUUAUUCAUUUGCGCCGAGCUCAUCAUUAGUAUAUUCUGAAAACUCAACUAAACACGGGAAUUCAUUGCCAGUGCUGUCACCUAUUAAAGCAGUGCCACAAAGUCCCCAAUUUACCCAGAUCUUGGAGUCUAUGGUGCAAA